rnacentral:tRNA from 1 species
GGAGAGGUGUCCGAGUGGCUUAAGGAGCACGCUUGGAAAGCGUGUGUGCGUUUGCGCCCUUCAGAGGUUCGAAUCCUCUCGCCUCCG